CUUGAGCACUUGAGCACUUGAGCUUUAAGAAGAAAGGGAUCCAGAGAGAGGGAAACAUAGAUCUGUGGCUAGCUAGACAAAAGAGAAAAUGGCAACACCACCGGUGAGCAUUCCAGGCGAACCAACCCAGACAGGCACGGCUUUGACAGACACGGCAGCGAGCGCCAUUCAAUCCUUCGCUCCCAUCAACAAAGUCCAUCAACACCUCUGCGCGUUCCAUUUCUACAGCCACGAUAUGACCCGACAAGUGGAGGCGCACCACUUCUGCUCGUGCCAGAACGAGGAGAUGAGGCAGUGCCUGAUAUACGACAGCCCAGACUCGAACGCACGGCUGAUCGGUGUAGAGUACCUCAUAACGGAGAACCUCUUCCUGAUUCUGCCCGAUGCCGAGAAGCCGCUUUGGCAUUCCCACGAAUACGAGGUGACGAGUGGGUUUUUGUUCCUGCCUGGGCUGCCCGGAUCCGUGCAGAGGCAGGAUCUUGAUAAGGUGUGCAAGACCUACGGUAAGACCUUCCACUUCUGGCAGAUCGAUAGAGGUGAUGAGCUCCCUCUCGGCUUGCCUCAGCUCAUGAUGGCCCUCACUAGGGAUGGUCAGCUCGACACCGCCCUCGCCCAAGAUGUAGAGAAGAGAUUCGAGGUAAGCUAUGAGAAGGAGAGGGAGAAUAGGGCAUACAUGACAGGGCCGGCGCAUGGAAUACAUCCUUUGGCAAAUGGAGAGGGAAAGGGGCUGAAGACAGAGCUUAGAGAGAGAGAUUGCAAGCCAGUGGACUAAAAUAUUGCAACCCACCCACCUAUGCAGUCAAUAAGGUAGAAUUCAAAGGAAGUCAAGAAAUAAGCCUCGAUUUUUUUUUGGGUCACAAGGACCCACAGAGGGGGAAAAUAACUUACCGUCAUCCUGCAGCCACAAGGCCGCAGGUUGACCUGGAGCUUCGGCUGCUAGCUAGUAAAAAAAAGUUUCUCUAUUGUAUUUUAGACUUGGACUCGUGGAUGGAGCCAAGUCAUACAAGAGUGAUGGAGCCUUUGAAUUUGUAGGAAUAUUGCUCUGGAAGAGACCAACCUCGUAUUAAUAACUUUAGGCCUCCUAACCCGUCAAUGAAGAGAAUCUAUCAGAGAAAAUGCGCACAAUAUAACUCAAUGACCAAAGAUAGAGAUUUCCCUUAUAUUGAUUUCCUUUGAUAAAUUCAAGAUAUAAAGCAAUCUUCACAUUUCAUAUUCUAAAGUUUUUUAUUAUAUAAUUUUUUUUACAAAGAAUUCGAUGUAAGAAUGAGUGCAAGUUAUGUUAGGGUGUACCGUCAGGGGACCCAAUGAUUGAAGGUGAUUUUGAUAUCAGAGGACUGGAGGCGGCAAGAGAAGCUUCUAAUUUUGGAGGUCCAGCUUGGAAAUGAUUGCUGGAUCUCUGGUCAUUUUUUGUUAGACGAAUCACAUCUGGUUCCUAUGCGAUGUUCUGAGGCUGUUUCGACAACGACUAUGUUGGGAGAAGGUACUUACGAGGUUGCACAGGUAGCGGUUGGUAAGGUUGUGGGGAGAACCUUCGCCUAUGUGGUUGGGACUUGGGAGGCCCUUUCUCCCAUCUGUGGAUAGUCUUCCAUUGCGGUUAACGAUCGAUGUCUGAUGCGUAUAUAAGAUCUCGCAAGUGGCAUUUGACAGAUAAAUGGGAAGCAUCUUUUUGCUUUAUUAGGUUGUGUUGAUUUUCGUUCAAUAUCUAUGAAUAUCUUAUGGGAUAUGUUCACGAUAACUGGGAUUUGGUAGAACCUUGUGACAUUUGUUCACUUGGUAAAGGAUUUAUUUUUCUCUAAUUCAAAUUUGAGUCUGAUAUGGCUUCGAAUAGGAAGUUUGGUCUAGUGCGAGUUGUGUAUCGUAGUUCCAAAGUGUUGAGAUCAAUCCCUAUGGUUUCUUGAGUGUGGAAGAACUAUUAUUUGGAGGAGGAACUUCGAUUACGAUUCUAAGGUGAACUGUUGUGUCCCUUGUAAUUAAGUUUUGUACAUUGAUUUCAAACGCAAGAGAUCUCAAUCCGAUCCCUUCCAUUGCAGCUGAUGGGCAACUUUUCGCAACAAAUACAAGAUAGAGAACUUCCAUGAUACACUGACUGUAUCUUCUUUUGCAACUGAACCUAUAGAAGGUUUGAAUUGGGAUUGCGGGUGUGCCAGAGACGUCA